GAUGAACGCUGGCGGCGUGCCUAAUACAUGCAAGUCGAGCGAACAGACGAGGAUCUUGCUCCUCUGCCGUUAGCGGCGGACGGGUGAGUAACACGUGGAUAACCUACCUAUAAGACUGGGAUAACUUCGGGAAACCGGAGCUAAUACCGGAUAAUAUAUUGAACGGCAUGGUUCAAUAGUGAAAGACGGAUUUGCUGUCACUUAUAGAUGGAUCCACGUCGCAUUAGCUAGUUGGUAAGGUAACGGCUUACCAAGGCAACGAUGCGUAGCCGACCUGAGAGGGUGAUCAGCCACACUGGAACUGAGACACGGUCCAGACUCCUACGGGAGGCAGCAGUAGGGAAUCUUCCGCAAUGGGCGAAAGCCUGACGGAGCAACGCCGCGUGAGUGAUGAAGGUCUUCGGAUCGUAAAACUCUGUUAUUAGGGAAGAACAAAUGUGUAAGUAACUAUGCACGUCUUGACGGUACCUAAUCAGAAAGCCACGGCUAACUACGUG
rnacentral:rRNA from 1 species